CCUUACACCUGGCUUCUAGCUAAAAACACUGCAUUGAUUACAGGAACCUGUGCGCUCCACAAAGCCAAUCGGCUACAGGCACAUGAGGUGUCCACGAGUACCAGUUGCACCCAAGUAAUCAAUAAGCGGGCCCUUCUUUGUCUCAAGCUAGCCAAUAGCAAGCAACCUAAUCUCCUUCCUCUCCCUCCCCCCCUAUAUAUAUACCCAGUUCGGAAAAAUAAAGUUUGCAGCUUGAUCAGAA